UUGGAGGGCAAGUCUGGUGCCAGCAGCCGCGGUAAUUCCAGCUCCAAUAGCGUAUAUUAAAGUUGUUGAGGUUAAAAAGCUCGUAGUUGAAUUUCGGGGUUAGUAGGUUGGUCAUGCCUCUGGUAUGUACUGGUCUCACUGAUUCCUCCUUCCUGAUGAACCGUAAUGCCAUUAAUUUGGUGUUGCGGGGAAUUUGGACUGUUACUUUGAAAAAAUUAGAGUGUUUAAAGCAAGCUAACGCUUGAAUACAUUAGCAUGGAAUAAUGAAAUAGGACGUUCGAUCCUAUUUUGUUGGUUUCUAGGAUUGACGUAAUGAUUAAUAGGGAUAGUUGGGGGCAUUAGUAUUCAAUUGUCAGAGGUGAAAUUCUUGGAUUUAUUGAAGACUAACUACUGCGAAAGCAUUUGCCAAGGAUGUUUUCAUUAAUCAAGAACGAAAGUUAGGGGAUCGAAGACGAUCAGAUACCGUCGUAGUCUUAACCAUAAACUAUGCCGACUAGGGAUCGGAUGAUGUUAAUUUUUUAAUGACUCAUUCGGCGCCUUACGGGAAAC
rnacentral:rRNA from 1 species